GGUUAGUUUAAUUUUUAAAAUAUAGGUUUUGUAAACCUAAGAUGAUUAUAUAUCAUUAACCU
rnacentral:tRNA from 1 species